CCUACGGGUGGCAGCAGUAGGGAAUAUUGCUCAAUGGGGGAAACCCUGAAGCAGCAACGCCGCGUGGAGGAUGAAGGUUUUCGGAUUGUAAACUCCUUUUGGUAGAGAAGAGAAUGACGGUAUCUAACGAAUAAGCACCGGCUAACUCCGUGCCAGCAGCCGCGGUAAUACGGAGGGGGCAAGCGUUCCUCGGAAUCACUGGGCGUAAAGAGCGCGUAGGCGGGAUAGCAAGUCAGAUGUGAAAUCCUAUGGCUUAACCAUAGAACUGCAUUUGAAACUGUUAUUCUAGAGUCUGGGUGAGGUAGGUUGAAUUCUUGGUGUCGGGGUCAAAUCCGUAGCGAUCACGCGGAAUCCUCAUUGCGAAGGCGACCUGCUAGAACAUACCUGCCGCUGCUGCGCGCACGCGUGGGGAGCAAACCGGAUUAGAUACCCCGGUAGUC
rnacentral:rRNA from 1 species